UUUGCUGAUGUAUCUCUAACCUGGCUCAUGCUGCAGGAGCUGACACGCUGCCUUUUGCUUUCACUUAUGAAAUCAUUGCUUGAUCUGUGUGGUUCCAGUAUGGAACCACCACAAUGACGGCUGCAUUUAGACACAGAUCAGAGAGUUUUCUCACAGCUCACACUAAUCAGAGUGGUUAAUAAGGUAGUGAUGGAUGAAUCAGGUGCUAAUAGCGCCUGCACUGUGAUUGCAGUUUGGUAAUUUGGGAUUUUAUUUGCAUAAUCACCCCGUGCCAGCCCUGCUGCACUGACACUGAUAGAACCUGCAGCAGCCCCAGGAGAAAGCUGAUGGAGUUACUGCAGGACAACGUUUGUGCUGACUGAAAUGCCUUUCAGACGUGCUGAAAACCUCAGAGCACUGAGUCAGGACACACAAAAAAGUGAAGCACAUUCCUUUGAGGGCUUUCUGCUUUACCCCAGAGUUGGUGUCCCAGAUUGCAAGGCAAUGUGUAUUCUAUUUACCAUCUGUCAGAGGUGAGAACAUGGGAGGAGGAAGAAGAUGAGACCAACUUCUUGUUUGGCCGGUGAAGAACAAGAAGAAUGACACUAAAGACUUCUGGAUUCACCAGAGCUGUUGAAGUUUCACCCAGCAUCUGGCACCCUGAGAACACUUGUGGCAUCCUACAGCUUCCAGAGAGGGAUUAAUUCCUGUGCUGAUUGGUGGCUGUGGCAUGGACCAACAGGGGAGAUGUCAACACCACUUAACUAUUAAAACUUACAAAAAUUA